rnacentral:rRNA from 1 species
ACGUAGGGGACGAGCGUUGUCCGGAUUUACUGGGCGUAAAGGGCGCGUAGGCGGUCAUUUAAGUCAGCUGUGAAAUGGUUGGGCUUAACCGGAGCAUGGCUUUGAAACUGGAUGACUGGAGUGCUGGAGAGGUAAGUGGAAUUCCCAGUGUAGCGGUGAAAUGCGUAGAUAUUGGGAGGAACACCGGUGGCGAAGGCGACUUGCUGGCCAGUAACUGACGUUGAGGCGCGAAAGCCUGGGGAGCAAACGG